GCUAACCGUUAGCUAUCAAGAAGAAUCUUCUCCUGUUUUGAGUGAUGAGGUGACAUCAUUAAAGUGGAUUCAGUUUGUGAGGGACACCAUUCUAUUCUGAAGACUCAAUGGCCAUAUCAUUUGUUUUUUACUUCAAGACAGAGGAUUCCUUGGCUUGGCUGAUUAAAGAGCUUUU